GGGGCUGUAGCUCAGUUGGGAGAGCACCUGCUUUGCAAGCAGGGGGUCGUCGGUUCGAUUCCGUCCAGCUCCA
rfam:Candidatus Nitrospira inopinata isolate ENR4 genome assembly, chromosome: 1